GUGAAAGUGACCAUGGUGUUUUCUGCUCUUCGUUGCGAAUCAAUGCAUCAGCAUUGGGUUUCUGCCAAGGCAUUGACUGAGAGCUUGGGGAAAAACUAUUUUUAAAGUAGGUUCUUCUCCUAAUCUAUGCAAAAGAGCAUAAAGUAUCCAUUAUGCCAAACACGUUACUUACUAAAUGUGUAUUUUCUAAUUGUAUAUCUUAGUCACAAUGCCAAACAGAAAAUGUUGCUAAUCAGAGCAAAAUCACUGUAUAGGAA